GGCAAUGCUCAAGUACCAAAGCUACUUACCCGAUGAGUAUAUCAAAAGUUGGGUAAUGACAUGCUAUUACAUCCUGGAGGGUGUCGCAUGAUGUCCAGACAUGAACACCUCCCAACAGGAACUGGAAGAAUCCUGGCUGGCUUUCCUCUUUGAAAUCUGGGACACCGAACCGAUAGACAUGGCUGUGGUGGUUUGUAAUUUCAGGACAAUCCAAGAGAGAAGUCAAGAAUUCCUGCAGAUUGGCCCACUAAUGGCAAAAGGAACAGAGAUACACGUCCAAGUCAUGAUGGUGUGUGGUAGGAAGAGGAACCAGGAAGUGAUGACUAUCCCUGCAAGAAUGCUGUUCCUUUUUAUUGCUGAUUGGCUGAAAUCAGACAGAAGUGACUUCUAAGCUCCUGAUCUCAUUAUUCCAAGCAAGAACAGAAGAGUUGAAUUCCAGAGGCGAGCUGCAAUUGACUGCCCUUGACACCAUGGCAGCAUUUGACAAAAUGUGGCACCACAGAGUCAGAAUAAAACUGAUGUAA